CCCCUGUCCUAUGUUGCCAGCAUUCAGUUGGGGACUCAUAGGAGACUGCCGGCGUCAAGCCGGAGGAAGGUGGGGAUGACGUCAAGUCAUCAUGCCCUUAUGUCCUGGGCUGCACACGUGCUACAAUGGUCGGUACAAUGGGCUGCGAUGCCGCGAGGCGGAGCGAAUCCCAUAAAACCGGCCCAGUCCGGAUUGGAGUCUGCAACUCGACUCCAUGAAGUUGGAAUCGCUAGUAAUCGCAGAUCAGCACGCUCGCGGUCCGAAUACGUUCCGGCCUU
rnacentral:rRNA from 1 species